rfam:Mangrovibacter sp. MFB070 Contig-038, whole genome shotgun sequence.
GUCUGUGCGUAUUCAUUUGAGUAUCCUGAAAACGGGCUUUUCAGUAUGGUACGCACACAUGAAAUUAUAGGAGUGCAUAGUGGCCCGUAUAGCAGGCAUUAACAUUCCUGAU